UAUUACUGUGGUUCUAAUCUCUCCACUGCUCUUGAUGGAAUCACUGGUCCAGCUAUCCGGGUGUUGUAACUCCCGACCCUUCCUGUCAGUCCAGCAUCUUCUGAUGGAACGGCUUGUAGCGGUUACUGGGAAAAGGAUGGAAGAGGAAAUGGUCCACAAUCAUUGAGAGAUAUCAGCAAACCCAGGCUCUUCGCUGGAAACUCAGCUUGUAAGGUGGAGGCAGUGGCAGAGGAUGAAACAAGGAGUCUCAAGGAUGGCUUCCCAGGAAGAAACAUGCUCCAACUCAGUCCAAGGAUGAGAACCCUGACAAAAGAUGAUCUGUUGCACUCAAUUUUAUUGAUGGAAAUGUAUCAUGGCCUAAUGGAAAACACUUGGCCCUUGGAGUCAGGAGACCUGGGUUCUAAUGCUAGCUCCACC
rnacentral:lncRNA from 1 species